rnacentral:lncRNA from 1 species
GGCUCCCGGGGCCCACAGGUCCCGGCCUCCCCUUCCCCUGGGCCUCCAAACCCUCAGAGCCGGCUCCCGGGGCCCACAGGUACCGGCCUCCCCUUCCCCUGGGCCUCCAAACCCACAGGCUUAGCCCCCGGGGCCCUCAGAUCCGGGCCUCCCCUUCCCCUGGGCCUCCAUACCCUCAGGUUUGGCCCCCAGGCCCUCAGGUCCCGCCCUCCCCUUCCCCUGGGCCUCCAAACCCUCAGAGCCGGCUCCCGGGGCCCACAGGUUCCGGCCUCCCCUUCCCUGGCCCUCCAAACCCUCAGAGCCGGCUCCCGGGGCCCACAUGUCCCGGCCUCCCCUUCUCCUGGGCCUCCAAACCCACAGGCCUAGCCCCCGGGGCCCUCAGAUCCGGGCCUCCCCUUCCCCUUGGCCUCCAAACCCACAGGUUUGGCCCCCGGCCCCUCAGAUCUGGGCCUCCCCUUCCCCUGGGCCUCCAAACCCUCAGAGCCGGUUUCCGGGGCCCACAGGUCCCAGCCUCCCAUUCCCCUGCGCCUCCAAAUCCUCAGGUUUGGUUUCCGGGACCUCAGGUCUGGGCCUCCCCUUUCCCUAGGCCUCCAAACCCUCAGGUUUGGUCCCCAGGCCCACAGAUCCGGGCCUCCCCUUCCCCUGGGCCUCCAAACCCACAGGUUUGGCCCCCGGGCCCUGAGAUCUGGGCCUCCCCUUCCCCUGGGCCUCCAAACCCACAGGUUUGGCCCCCAGGCCCUCAGAUCUGGGCCUCCAAACCCACAGGUUUGGCCCCCGGCCCCUCAGAUCUGGGCCUCCUCUUCCCCUGGGCCUCCAAACCCACAGGUUUGGCCCCCGGGCCCUCAGAUCUGGGCCUCCAAACCCACAGGUUUGGCCCCCGGCCUCUCAGAUCUGGGCCUCCCCUUCCCCUGGGCCUCCAAACCCUCAGAGCCUGCUCCCGGGGCCCACAGGUCCCGGCCUCCCCUUCCCCUGGGCCUCCAAAUCCACAGGCUUAGCCCCCGGGGCCCACAGGUCCGGGCCUCCCCAUCCCCUGGGCCUCCAAAUCCUCAGAGCCUGCUCCCGACGCCCACACGUCCUGGCCUCCCCUUCCCCUGGGCCUCCUAACCCACAGGUUUGGCCCCCGGGCCCUCAGAUCCGGGCCUCCCCUUCCCCUGGGCCUCCAAACCCUCAGAGCCGGCUCCCGGGGCCCACAGGUCCCGGCCUCCCCUUCCCCUGGGCCUCCAAACCCACAGGCUUAGCCCCCGGGGCCCUCAGAUCCGGGCCUCCCCUUCCCCUGGGCCUCCAAACCCUCAGAGCCGGCUCCCGGGGCCCACAGGCCCCGGCCUCCCCUUCCCCUGGGCCUCCAAACCCUCAGAGCCGGCUCCCGGGGCCCACAGGUCCCGGCCUCCCCUUCUCUUGGGCCUCCAAACCCACAGGCUUAGCCCCCGGCGCCCACAGGUCCCGGCCUCCCCUUCCCCUGGGCCUCCAAACCCACAGGUUUGGCCCCCGGGCCCUGAGAUCUGGGCCUCCCCUUCCCCUGGGCCUCCAAACCCACAGGUUUGGCCCCCGGCCCCUCAGAUCUCGGCCUCCCCUUCCCCUGGGCCUCCAAACCCUCAGAGCCGGCCCCCGGAGCCCACAUGUCCCAGCGUCCCAUUCCCCUGGGCCUCCAAAUCUUCACGUUUGGUCCCCGGGACCUCAGGUCUGGGCCUCCCCUUACCCUAGGCCUCCAAACCCUCAGGUUUGUCCCCAGGCCCACAGAUCCGGGCCUCCCCUACCCCUGGGCCUCCAUACCCUCAGGUUUGGCCCCCGAGCCCUCAGAUCUGGGCCUCCAAACUCACAGGUUUGGCCCCCGGGCCCUCAGAUCUGGGCCUCAAAACCCACAGGUUUGGCCCCCGGCCCCUCAGAUCUGGGCCUCCCCUUCCCCUGGGCCUCCAAACCCUCAGACCCGGCUCCCGCGGCCCACAGGUCCCAGCCUCCCCUUCCCCUGGACCUCCAAAUCCUCAGAGCUGUCUCCCGGGGCCCUCAGAUCCGGGCCUCCCCUUCCCCUGGGCCUCCAAACCCACAGGUUUGGCCCCCGGGCCCUCACAUCUGGGCCUCCAAACCCACAGGUUUGGCUCCCGGCCCCUCAGAUCUGGACCUCCCCUUACCCUGGGCCUCCAAACCCUCAGAGCCUGCUCCCGGGCCCCACAGGUCCCAGCCUCCCAUUCCCCUGGGCCUCCAAAUCCUCAGGUUUGGUUUCCGGGACCUCAGGUCUGGGCCUCCCCUUACCCUAGGCCUCCAAACCCUCAGGUUUGGUCCCCAGGCCCACAGAUCUGGGCCUCCCCUUCCCCUGGGCCUCCAAACCCUCAGAGCCGGCUCCCGGGGCCCACAGGUCCCGACCUCACCUUCCCCUGGGCCUCCAAACCCUCAGAGCCGGCUCCCGGCGCCCACACGUCCCGGCCUCCCCUUCCCCUGGUCCUCCAAACCCACAGGUUUGGCCCCCGGGCCCUCAGAUCUGGGCCUCCAAACCCAUAGGUUUGGCCCCCGGCCCCUCAGAUCUGGGCCUCCCCUUCCCCUGGGCCUCCAAACCCUCAAAGCCGGCUCCCGGGGCCCACAGGUCCCAGCCUCCCAUUCCCCUGGGCCUCCAAAUCCUCAGGUUUGGUUUCCGGGACCUCAGGUCUGGGCCUCCCCUUUCCCUAGGCCUCCAAACCCUCAGUUUUGGUCCCCAGGCCCACAGAUCCGGGCCUCCCCUUCCCCUGGGCCUCCAUACCCUCAGGUUUGGCCCCCGGGCCCUCAGGUCCCCGCCUCCCCUUUCCCUGGGCCUCCAAACCCUCAGAGCCGUCUCCCGGGGCCCACAGGUUCCAGCCUCCCCUUCCCCUGGGCCUCCAAACCCUCAGAGCCGGCUCCCGGGGCCCACAGGUUCCAGCCUCCCCUUCCUCUGGGCCUCCAAACCCUCAGAGCCGGCUCCCGGGGCCCACAGGUCCCGCCCUCCCCUUCCCCUGGGCCUCCAAACCCACAGGCCUAG